AUUGAACGCUGGCGGCAUGCCUUACACAUGCAAGUCGAACGGCAGCACGGAGCUUGCUCUGGUGGCGAGUGGCGAACGGGUGAGUAAUAUAUCGGAACGUACCCUAGAGUGGGGGAUAACGUAGCGAAAGUUACGCUAAUACCGCAUACGAUCUAAGGAUGAAAGUGGGGGAUCGCAAGACCUCAUGCUCGUGGAGCGGCCGAUAUCUGAUUAGCUAGUUGGUAGGGUAAAAGCCUACCAAGGCAUCGAUCAGUAGCUGGUCUGAGAGGACGACCAGCCACACUGGAACUGAGACACGGUCCAGACUCCUACGGGAGGCAGCAGUGGGGAAUUUUGGACAAUGGGCGAAAGCCUGAUCCAGCAAUGCCGCGUGAGUGAAGAAGGCCUUCGGGUUGUAAAGCUCUUUUGUCAGGGAAGAAACGGUGGGAGCUAAUAUCUCUUGCUAAUGACGGUACCUGAAGAAUAAGCACCGGCUAACUACGUGCCAGCAGCCGCGGUAAUACGUAGGGUGCAAGCGUUAAUCGGAAUUACUGGGCGUAAAGCGUGCGCAGGCGGUUUUGUAAGUCUGAUGUGAAAUCCCCGGGCUCAACCUGGGAAUUGCAUUGGAGACUGCAAGGCUAGAAUCUGGCAGAGGGGGGUAGAAUUCCACGUGUAGCAGUGAAAUGCGUAGAUAUGUGGAGGAACACCGAUGGCGAAGGCAGCCCCCUGGGUCAAGAUUGACGCUCACGCACGAAAGCGUGGGGAGCAAACAGGAUUAGAUACCCUGGUAGUCCACGCCCUAAACGAUGUCUACUAGUUGUCGGGUCUUAAUUGACUUGGUAACGCAGCUAACGCGUGAAGUAAACCGCCUGGGGAGUACGGUCGCAAGAUUAAAACUCAAAGGAAUUGACGGGGACCCGCACAAGCGGUGGAUGAUGUGGAUUAAUUCGAUGCAACGCGAAAAACCUUACCUACCCUUGACAUGGCUGGAAUCCUUGAGAGAUCAGGGAGUGCUCGAAAGAGAACCAGUACACAGGUGCUGCAUGGCUGUCGUCAGCUCGUGUCGUGAGAUGUUGGGUUAAGUCCCGCAACGAGCGCAACCCUUGUCAUUAGUUGCUACGAAAGGGCACUCUAAUGAGACUGCCGGUGACAAACCGGAGGAAGGUGGGGAUGACGUCAAGUCCUCAUGGCCCUUAUGGGUAGGGCUUCACACGUCAUACAAUGGUACAUACAGAGCGCCGCCAACCCGCGAGGGGGAGCUAAUCGCAGAAAGUGUAUCGUAGUCCGGAUUGUAGUCUGCAACUCGACUGCAUGAAGUUGGAAUCGCUAGUAAUCGCGGAUCAGCAUGUCGCGGUGAAUACGUUCCCGGGUCU
rnacentral:rRNA from 1 species